GACGAACGCUGGCGGCGUGCUUAACACAUGCAAGUCGAACGAUGAUGAAGAGAAACGCGAACUUCGGUUCAAAUUUCACUUCGGAUUAGUGGCAGACGGGUGAGUAACGCGUGAGCAACCUACCUCUUACAAAGGGAUAGCCUCGGGAAACCGUGAUUAAUACCAUAUGACACAUUCAUAAGGCAUCUUAAGAAUGUUAAAGCUACGGCGGUAAGAGAUGGGCUCGCGUCCCAUUAGCUAGUUGGUGAGGUAACGGCCCACCAAGGCGACGAUGGGUAACCGGCCUGAGAGGGUGAACGGUCACAUUGGAACUGAGACACGGUCCAAACUCCUACGGGAGGCAGCAGUGGGGAAUAUUGCACAAUGGAGGGAACUCUGAUGCAGCGACGCCGCGUGAGCGAUGAAGGAAUUCGUUUCGUAAAGCUCUGUUCUAUGGGAAGAAAAGGACUGUACCAUAGGAGAAAGCCCCGGCUAAAUACGUG
rnacentral:rRNA from 1 species